rnacentral:ncRNA from 1 species
UAAGUGGCUUGUGCUGGCCAAGUGUUGAUAGUGUCAGUACUUUUUAAACCUUUGGCUCUUCCUAGCAUUGUGAACCAGAACUCAUUAGCACACGUUCAGUAAUGGGGAACGUGAGCUGGGUUUAUACCAUCACGAGACAGAUU